rnacentral:rRNA from 1 species
AACGAACGUUGGCGGCGUGGAUUAGGCAUGCAAGUCGUACGCGAAAGAGGGGGCAACUCCUCGAGUAAAGUGGCGAACGGGUGAGUAACGCGUAGGAAACCUGCCUUCGAGAUGGGGGAUAACACUCCUAACGGGGUGCUAAUACCGAAUGACACUGCGGGAUCGCAUGGUUCUGCAGUCAAAGGUGGCCUCUGCUUGCAAGCUACCACUCAAAGAUGGUCCUGCGUCCCANAGCUAGUUGGCGGGGUAACGGCCCACCAAGGCGACGAUGGGUAGCCGAUCUGAGAGGAUGACCGGCCACACUGGGACUGAGAUA